GAUGAAGAACGUAGCGAAAUGCGAUAAGUAAUGUGAAUUGCAGAAUUCAGUGAAUCAUCGAAUCUUUGAACGCACAUUGCGCCCGCCUGUAUUCUGGCGGGCAUGCCUGUUCGAGCGUCAUUUCAACCAUCAAGCCCCAGGCUUGUGUUGGGGACCUGCGGCUGCCGCAGGCCCUGAAAACCAGUGGCGGGCUCGCUGUCACACCGGGCGUAGUAGAUUUUAUCUCGCUCAGGGCGUGCUGCGGGUUCCGGCCGUUAAAAAGCCUUUUUUACCCAAGGUUGACCUCGGAUCAGGUAGGAAGACCCGCUGAACUUAAGCAUAUCAAUAAGCGGAGGA
rnacentral:misc_RNA from 1 species